CUGUGAUGGGGAGAAGACAUUGUGUCUUCGAGUCGUUGAUUUCACACUGCCGAGAAAAGCCUCUAGAUAGAAAAUAGGUGCCCGUACCGCAAACCGACACAGGUAGUCAAGAUGAGAAUUCUAAGGUGAGCGAGCGAACUCUCGUUAAGGAACUCGGCAAAAUGACCCCGUAACUUCGGGAGAAGGGGUGCUCUUUAGGGUUAACGCCCAGAAGAGCCGCAGUGAAUAGGCCCAAGCGACUGUUUAUCAAAAACACAGGUCUCUGCUAAACCGUAAGGUGAUGUAUAGGGGCUGACGCCUGCCCGGUGCUGGAAGGUUAAGAGGAGUGGUUAGCUUCUGCGAAGCUACGAAUCGAAGCCCCAGUAAACGGCGGCCGUAACUAUAACGGUCCUAAGGUAGCGAAAUUCCUUGUCGGGUAAGUUCCGACCCGCACGAAAGGCGUAACGAUUUGGGCACUGUCUCAACGAGAGACUCGGUGAAAUCAUAGUACCUGUGAAGAUGCAGGUUACCCGCGACAGGACGGAAAGACCCCGUGGAGCUUUACUGUAGCCUGAUAUUGAAAUUCGGCACAGCUUGUACAGGAUAGGUAGGAGCCUUUGAAACGUGAGCGCUAGCUUACGUGGAGGCGCUGGUGGGAUACUACCCUAGCUGUGUUGGCUUUCUAACCCGCACCA
rnacentral:rRNA from 1 species